rnacentral:rRNA from 1 species
UGCAAGUCGUGGGGCAGCAGGGUCCGUAGCAAUACGGAUGCUGGCGACCGGCAAACGGGUGCGGAACACGUACACAACCUUCCUUUAAGUGGGGAAUAGCCCGGGGAAACCCGGAUUAAUACCCCGUAACAUGAUGAAGUGGCAUCGCUUUAUUAUUAUAGCAGCAAUGCGCUUGAAGAUGGGUGUGCGACUGAUUAGGCAGUUGGCGGGGUAACGGCCCACCAAACCUACGAUCAGUAACUGGUGUGAGAGCACGACCAGUCACACGGGCACUGAGACACGGGCCCGACUCCUACGGGAGGCAGCAGUAAGGAAUAUUGGUCAAUGGACGCAAGUCUGAACCAGCCAUGCCGCGUGGAGGAUGAAGGUCCUCUGGAUUGUAAACUUCUUUUAUCUGGGAAGAAAUCCAUGAAUUCUUUUGUGGUUGACGGUACCAGAUGAAUAAGCACCGGCUAACUCCGUGCCAGCAGCCGCGGUAAUACGGAGGGUGCAAGCGUUAUCCGGAUUCACUGGGUUUAAAGGGUGCGUAGGUGGGUUGGUAAGUCAGUGGUGAAAUCUCCAGGCUUAACUUGGAAACUGCCAUUGAUACUAUCAAUCUUGAAUACCGUGGAGGUCAGCGGAAUAUGUCAUGUAGCGGUGAAAUGCUUAGAUAUGACAUAGAACACCAAUUGCGAAGGCAGCUGGCUACACGAAUAUUGACACUGAUGCACGAAAGCGUG